rnacentral:rRNA from 1 species
AGAGUUUGAUCCUGGCUCAGAUUGAACGCUGGCGGCAUGCUUUACACAUGCAAGUCGAACGGUAACAGGGAGCUUGCUCCGCUGACGAGUGGCGAACGGGUGAGUAAUGCAUCGGAACGUGCCGUGUAAUGGGGGAUAACGUAGCGAAAGUUACGCUAAUACCGCAUACGCCCUGAGGGGGAAAGCGGGGGAUCGUAAGACCUCGCGUUAUACGAGCGGCCGAUGCCGGAUUAGCUAGUUGGUGGGGUAAAGGCCUACCAAGGCGACGAUCCGUAGCGGGUCUGAGAGGAUGAUCCGCCACACUGGGACUGAGACACGGCCCAGACUCCUACGGGAGGCAGCAGUGGGGAAUUUUGGACAAUGGGGGCAACCCUGAUCCAGCCAUGCCGCGUGAGUGAAGAAGGCCUUCGGGUUGUAAAGCUCUUUCAGACGGAAAGAAAUCGCACUUUCUAAUACAAGGUGUGGAUGACGGUACCGUAAGAAGAAGCACCGGCUAACUACGUG